rnacentral:rRNA from 1 species
GACGAACGCUGGCGGUGUGCUUAACACAUGCAAGUCGAACGGUAAGGCCCUUUCGGGGGUCGACGGGGGGCGUAAGGGGGGGUAACAUGUGAGUAACCUGCCCACAUCUCUGCGAUAUCAGGCGGAAACGGUUGCAAGUGCUGGUUAUGAGCUUUCUUGGCAGUUUGUGGGUUGGAGAGUUUUGUUUGGUUGGUGAUGGGGUGGCGGCCUAUCGGCUUGUUGGUGAGGUAGUGGCUCACCAAGGCUUCGACGGGUAGCCGGCCUGAUAGCGCGACCGGCCACAGUGGGACUGAGAUCCGGCCCAAGCUCCGACGGGUGGCAGAAGUGGGGAAUAUUGCUCAAGGAACGGAGGUCUGAUGCAGAAACGCCGCGUGCGGGAUGGCGGCCUUCGGGUUAUAGACGGAUUUCAAUUGUGACGAAGCUUUUUGUGACGGUAGCAGUAGAAGAAGCACCGGCUAACUACGUG